AUUGGGCGGGGGGGGGGGGGGGCGACGAAAACGGUUUUCGGGACUUUGACGCUCUCGUGAUGCUCCGAUCACGACGCGACUUACCUCAUUCCACGUAGAAUGACUUUUUACAUAUAUUAUGACUUAAUUUUACAACAAUUUACAAUAUUAACGGGAGAUUGGAAGCAAAAAAGGAGAAAAAAAGGGGAAACUUCUAAAAUAUAGGAAAAAAAUGUCUUCUAAAAUGAGACGAUCAAACCACCUCUAAUUGAAAGAUGAACUUUUCAUCUAACGGAAAAGACUAAAUUUGCAUUACUAUUUUCCUUGUUCGUGAGAUAUCUGCGAAAGAAAAAGACACCCAGAUUGAUUUUUAAUUGAAUUCACUAGCAGACGACAUGAUUCAAUAGCCUGCUUGUCAAACGAAUGGGUUUUUGCCACAUAAACAAACAAAACAUUUCUCAUUAUAGUGAUUAAACCUCGACAACUUUGCUGUCUUUCACAAGAUCAUGUUUCUGUUUCUCCAGUGCUCAUCUCCAGCAACUUCAAAUGUGACAAGAUCUUAAGUGAUUAAAACUCAAAUUUCAUAACAUUAAAUUCAUCAUUCAGAACAUCCCGACAGAGAAACAGACAACCAAAGAGCAAGUCACUCGUGCAUUAGUCCUCAGACCAACUGGAGAACUUUGUCAGCAACUUCAAAAAGCUUUUCUGCCAUUUACCACCAAUUCCUCUCGUGCUGUCACAAUUUCUGGACAAAAAACACUAUUAGUGGCACAUCCUGACAUUACCAUAGCAACCCCUUCAACUAUAUUGAUCCAUUUGGUGUCUAAAAUGCUUGUGCUGAAAAAUUCCCUUCAAUCCUUUGAUAUUGACAAAGCUGACUUAGUUGUUUUGUUUUAGUUUUGAUGAAGAUAUGAAGUGUGUGUUUGGGUAAGUAAUAUGCAUAUUUUAAUCUGUUUAUGAUUAACAUUCCUUCUCUUUCUUUUAAAUAAACCUUCCCACUAAUUAUCAAUGCGUUUUGACUUCUGCCACUUUGGGUGACGAUAUUCAAAGUUUGAAACCAUCUAACAAGCAUCACUACCACAUGAAACUAAAUUAGUUCACACCAAGAAGUUCAAUAAUCCUGAUCACCCCUGUAAAGUUCUGAUUGCUACUGAUGCUAUUAAUAUAAAAUUGAAUCUGAAUAUUGGCCGAAUUAUAUUUAGUUUUCUCUCAUAAAACCUACGAUCAAUAAAAAAGGGAAGAAAGAGA